AUUUGACUGGCUUUAAAAAAAAAAAAAAUUAAAAAAUAAAAGACUCAACUCAGGCUCUAACUACUCUAUGAAGCUUCUAUGACCUUCAGGUCCUCCCAAUAUAGCAGAUAUCCCACCCAAUUAUAAUUGUCUGUACCUCCCCUGACCCAUCCCCAACAAUAUGGAGAGCUUUUUGAGGGUAGACAUUGUAUCUGAUUCAUUUUUGUGACCUCAGUGCCUAGGGCUUGACUUGGCAUGGAAUAGUAUUUACUUAAUAAUGAAUGAACAUUCUUUUGUCUCCACCUCAAUUUGUCUCAUCCUUUCCUCUCACCCCCUCAGAUGCCUCGCCUCUUGCCUGUCCAUUCUCAGUCUUCCAUCUCCAGCCUCUUCCUCCACUGGAUCUAAGGCGCUUAAGGAUGACGGGGAGAUGGAGGAAAAACCCAUAUUUGAGGCAGGUAAAUGCCACUGUAUGCUGGACACUGGGCGAGGCCUUGGAUAUACAGCAGUAAAGACGACAAUCAUGAUCUCUGCCUUUGCUGAGUUAGCAGUCUCUUCCUUUUCAUAAACAGCAUUUGCCAGGACAUCAAGUAAUAAGUUAACAGCAGCUCUGGUCACGGGCUUCCUUAUCUUAUUCCUGAUCUUAAGAGGUGUGCACUUAAAGUUUUUCUAUUAAACAUAAU